rnacentral:rRNA from 1 species
UACAGAGGGGGCAAGCGUUAUUCGGAAUUAUUGGGCGUAAAGGGCGCGUAGGCGGCUUGGCAAGUGGAUGGUGAAAUCCCUCGGCUUAACCGAGGAACUGCCAUCCAGACUGCUUUGCUUGAGGCCGGGAGAGGUGAGUGGAAUUCCCAGUGUAGCGGUGAAAUGCGUAGAUAUUGGGAGGAACACCAGUGGCGAAGGCGGCUCACUGGGCCGAUACUGACGCUGAGGAGCGAAAGCGUGGGGAGCGAACAGG